rnacentral:rRNA from 1 species
GACGAACGCUGGCGGCGUGCCUAAUACAUGCAAGUCGAACGCAGUGGGGACGGGUGAGUAACACGUGGGUAACCUCCCAUCAGAGGGGAUAACACUUGGAAACAGGUGCUAAACCGAUACUGAUGGAUGGACCCGCGGUGCAUUAGCUAGUUGGUGAGGUAACGGCUCACCAAGGCCACGAUGCAUAGUCGACCUGAGAGGGGGAUUGGCCACACUGGGACUGAGAGACGGCCAAAACGCCUACGGGAGGCAGCAGUAGGGAAUCUUCCGCAAUGGGCGCAAGCCUGACGGAGCAACGCCGCGUGAGUGAAGAAGGUUUGCGGAUCGUAAAGCUCUGUUGUAAGAGAAGCGGUAUCUUACAAGAAAGCCACGGCGAGCUACGUGACAACAGCCGCGGUAAUAC